rnacentral:rRNA from 1 species
GACGAACGCUGGCGGCGUGCCUAAUACAUGCAAGUUGAGCGAUGAAGAUUGGUGCUUGCACCAAUUUGAAGAGCAGCGAACGGGUGAGUAACGCGUGGGGAAUCUGCCUUUGAGCGGGGGACAACAUUUGGAAACGAAUGCUAAUACCGCAUAACAACUUUAAACAUAAGUUUUAAGUUUGAAGGAUGCAAUUGCAUCACUCAAAGAUGAUCCCGCGUUGUAUUAGCUAGUUGGUGAGGUAAAGGCUCACCAAGGCGAUGAUACAUAGCCGACCUGAGAGGGUGAUCGGCCACAUUGGGACUGAGACACGGCCCAAACUCCUACGGGAGGCAGCAGUAGGGAAUCUUCGGCAAUAGACGAAAGUCUGACCGAGCAACGCCGCGUGAGUGAAGAAGGGUUUCGGAUCGUAAAACUCUGUUGGUAGAGAAGAACGUUGGUGAGAGUGGAAAGCUCAUCAAGUGACGGUAACUACCCAGAAAGGGACGGCUAACUACGUG